CCCUUAGAUGUUCUGGGCUGCACACGCGCUACACUGACGAAUGCAACGAGCUUAUAACCUUGGCCGAAAGGUCUGGGUAAUCUCCAAAUUUCGUCGUGAUGGGGAUAGAUUAUUGCAAUUAUUAAUCUUCAACGAGGAAUGCCUAGUAAGCGCAAGUCAUCAGCUUGCGUUGAUUACGUCCCUGCCCUUUGUACACACCGCCCGUCGCUCCUACCGAUUGAAUGGUCCGGUGAAGCGUUCGGACCGUGGCCUUUGGACGGUUCGCCGUCUGUUGGCUGCGGGAAGUUCGUUAAACCUUAUCAUUUAGAGGAAGGAGAAGUCGUANCA
rnacentral:rRNA from 1 species